rnacentral:misc_RNA from 1 species
UCGGUCAGGACGCGCCUUAUUGUCAGACAUUGAGGAAGGGAGUUUUUGAGGCAGGAGCAGCUCUCACUUUGCUCACAAGUUUAUUCUCCAAGAUGAAUUAUGUCUGCUGUUUUUAGCAUCAGGUGACACAGAGAACACUGAGUUGGGAAGCUACACUUCCAUUUAAUUUCAGUAAAUUUGGUUUUUAGCAAUAAUUAUGUAUUCAUUCAGUUUGCUUUUUAGAAAAUUUGCUUAAAAA